rnacentral:rRNA from 1 species
GCGGCGUGCUUAACACAUGCAAGUCGAACGGUGAAAGAGAGCUUGCUCUCUGGAUCAGUGGCGAACGGGUGAGUAACACGUGAGCAAUCUGCCCCUGACUCUGGGAUAAGCGCUGGAAACGGCGUCUAAUACCGGAUACGAGCUGCGAAGGCAUCUUCAGCAGCUGGAAAGAAUUUCGGUCAGGGAUGAGCUCGCGGCCUAUCAGCUAGUUGGUGAGGUAAUGGCUCACCAAGGCGUCGACGGGUAGCCGGCCUGAGAGGGUGACCGGCCACACUGGGACUGAGACACGGCCCAGACUCCUACGGGAGGCAGCAGUGGGGAAUAUUGCACAAUGGGCGCAAGCCUGAUGCAGCAACGCCGCGUGAGGGACGACGGCCUUCGGGUUGUAAACCUCUUUUAGCAGGGAAGAAGCGAAAGUGACGGUACCUGCAGAAAAAGCACCGGCUAACUACGUGCCAGCAGCCGCGGUAAUACGUAGGGUGCAAGCGUUAUCCGGAAUUAUUGGGCGUAAAGAGCUCGUAGGCGGUUUGUCGCGUCUGCUGUGAAAACCCGAGGCUCAACCUCGGGCCUGCAGUGGGUACGGGCAGACUAGAGUGCGGUAGGGGAGAUUGGAAUUCCUGGUGUAGCGGUGGAAUGCGCAGAUAUCAGGAGGAACACCGAUGGCGAAGGCAGAUCUCUGGGCCGUAACUGACGCUGAGGAGCGAAAGGGUGGGGAGCAAACAGGCUUAGAUACCCUGGUAGUCCACCCCGUAAACGUUGGGAACUAGUUGUGGGGUCCAUUCCACGGAUUCCGUGACGCAGCUAACGCA